CACGUAGGGCCAAGCGUUGUCCGGAUUUAUUGGGCGUAAAGAGCUCGUAGGCGGUUGGGUAAGUCGGGUGUGAAAACUCCAGGCUCAACUUGGAGACGCCACCCGAUACUGCUCUGACUUGAGUUCGGUAGGGGAGUGGGGAAUUCCUGGUGUAGCGGUGAAAUGCGUAGAUAUCAGGAGGAACACCGGUGGCGAAGGCGGGUCUCUGGACAGUUCCUGACACUGAGGCACGAAGGCCAGAGGAGCAAACGGG
rnacentral:rRNA from 1 species